CUGCACCAUUGUCCCAUUCCACUGGCCGAAUAUGAGAUACCCAGCUGUCCCUGCACCAUUUGUUGAAUAGACUAUUCUUUCAAUGGAGGGUUUUUGACACCCUUGUGGAAAACUGAAUGUAAAUAUAAGGAGACUGAGAAUUAGGUCUUCUCUUUUGGGUGGAUCUCAUUAUCAAUGACGGGAAGUUAUAAGGAAAAAGAUAUUGAUUCAUCCUGAGAAAACAUUUUUCUGAGCGUCAGCAGUGAAGAGGGUGAACACUGAAGAAGGUGAUCAUUGUUCGAAUGAGAUGAGCCCCGGGUUGUACGGAGUCAGCAUCCCUGUCCUGGACACGGCACAUUUAGAGCUGCGUGGUGGGUGAGGCGGCGCGGCCGCGCAGGGAAUGAGGAUGCCGGGCCGUUGGGCUGUGCUCAGGCCCGGUGGGGCUUUCUCCUAAGGGCAGUGGACCGUCAUUGACAGAUUUUAAGUAGAGGAGUGGAGUGCUAUCUUA